UGGGGGCACCCUGAUCCAGCCAUGCCGCGUGUGUGAAGAAGGCCUUUUGGUUGUAAAGCACUUUAAGCAGUGAAGAAGACUCCAUGGUUAAUACCCAUGGACGAUGACAUUAGCUGCAGAAUAAGCACCGGCUAACUCUGUGCCAGCAGCCGCGGUAAUACAGAGGGUGCAAGCGUUAAUCGGAAUUACUGGGCGUAAAGCGAGCGUAGGUGGCUUGAUAAGUCAGAUGUGAAAUCCCCGGGCUUAACCUGGGAACUGCAUCUGAUACUGUUAGGCUAGAAUAGGUGAGAGGAAGGUAGAAUUCCAGGUGUAGCGGUGAAAUGCGUAGAGAUCUGGAGGAAUACCGAUGGCGAAGGCAGCCUUCUGGCAUCAUAUUGACACUGAGGUUCGAAAGCGUGGGUAGCAAACAGGAUUAGAUACCCUGGUAGUCCACGCCGUAAACGAUGUCUACUAGUCGUUGGGUCCCUUGAGGACUUAGUGACGCAGCUAACGCAAUAAGUAGACCGCCUGGGGAGUACGGCCGCAAGGUUAAAACUCAAAUGAAUUGACGGGGGCCCGCACAAGCGGUGGAGCAUGUGGUUUAAUUCGAUGCAACGCGAAGAACCUUACCUGGUCUUGACAUAUCUAGAAUCCUGCAGAGAUGCGGGAGUGCCUUCGGGAAUUAGAAUACAGGUGCUGCAUGGCUGUCGUCAGCUCGUGUCGUGAGAUGUUGGGUUAAGUCCCGCAACGAGCGCAACCCUUGUCCUUAGUUACCAGCGGGUUAAGCCGGGAACUCUAAGGAUACUGCCAGUGACAAACUGGAGGAAGGCGGGGACGACGUCAAGUCAUCAUGGCCCUUA
rnacentral:rRNA from 1 species